rnacentral:rRNA from 1 species
AUACGGAGGAUGCGAGCGUUAUCCGGAUUUAUUGGGCUUAAAGGGAGCGUAGGUGGGAUAUUAAGUCAGCUGUGAAAGUUUGGGGCUCAACCUUAAAAUUGCAGUUGAUACUGGUUUCCUUGAGUACGGUACAGGUGGGCGGAAUUCGUGGUGUAGCGGUGAAAUGCUUAGAUAUCACGAAGAACUCCGAUCGCGAAGGCAGCUCACCGGGCCGGAACUGACACUGAUGCUCGAAAGUGCGGGUAUCAAACAGGAUUAGAUACCCUGGUAGUCCGCACAGUAAACGAUGAAUACUCGCUGUUUGCGAUACACUGUAAGCGGCCAAGCGAAAGCGUUAAGUAUUCCACCUGGGGAGUACGCCGGCAACGGUGAAACUCAAAUGAAUUGACGGG